CCUACGGGUGGCUGCAGUGGGGAAUAUUGGACAAUGGGCGAAAGCCUGAUCCAGCCAUGCCGCGUGUGUGAAGAAGGCCUUCGGGUUGUAAAGCACUCUCAGUGGGGAAGAAAGCCUUGGGGCUAAUACCCUCGAGGAAGGACAUCACCCACAGAAGAAGCACCGGCUAACUCCGUGCCAGCAGCCGCGGUAAUACGGAGGGUGCGAGCGUUAAUCGGAAUUACUGGGCGUAAAGCGCGCGUAGGCGGUCUGAUAAGCCGGUUGUGAAAGCCCCGGGCUCAACCUGGGAACGGCAUCCGGAACUGUCAGGCUAGAGUGCAGGAGAGGAAGGUAGAAUUCCCGGUGUAGCGGUGAAAUGCGUAGAGAUCGGGAGGAAUACCAGUGGCGAAGGCGGCCUUCUGGACUGACACUGACGCUGAGGUGCGAAAGCGUGGGUAGCAAACAGGAUUAGAUACCCCAGUAGUC
rnacentral:rRNA from 1 species